rnacentral:rRNA from 1 species
CAAUAGCGUAUAUUAAAGUUGUUGCAGUUAAAAAGCUCGUAGUUGGAUUUCUGAUCGAGACAUCAGGUCGGGUCCGAGAGGAUCAUGUACUUUGAUUUUGUUUUGAUCAUCCUUGGGGAGAGCAUUUCUGGCAUUCAGUUGUCGGGAUUGGGAUCCUCAUCGUUUACUGUGAAAAAAUUAGAGUGUUCAAAGCAGGCCUCGGCCUCUGAAUACAUUAGCAUGGAAUAACAAGAUAGGACUUUGGUGGUCUAUUUUGUUGGUUUGCACGCCAAAGUAAUGAUUAAUAGGGAUAGUUGGGGGUAUUCGUAUUCAAUUGUCAGAGGUGAAAUUCUUGGAUUUAUGGAAGACGAACUACUGCGAAAGCAUUUACCAAGGAUGUUUUCAUUAA